GAUGAACGCUAGCUACAGGCUUAACACAUGCAAGUCGAGGGGCAGCGUGAGACCGGCAACGGUCUUGAUGGCGACCGGCGCACGGGUGAGUAACGCGUAUCCGACCUGGCCCAGACACGUGGACAGCCUUGCGAAAGUAAGGAUAAUCCGCGAUAUAUUCUUUCCGUUGCAUAAGGGAAAGAAGAAAGGUGAGAACCGGUCUGGGAUGGGGAUGCGUUCCAUUAGAUAGUCGGCGGGGUAACGGCCCACCGAGUCGACGAUGGAUAGGGGUUCUGAGAGGAAGGUCCCCCACAUUGGAACUGAGACACGGUCCAAACUCCUACGGGAGGCAGCAGUGAGGAAUAUUGGUCAAUGGGCGAAAGCCUGAACCAGCCAAGUAGCGUGAAGGAUGACGGCCCUAUGGGUUGUAAACUUCUUUUGCGGGAGGGUAAAGUGAGUCACGAGUGGCUCAUUGCAAGUAUCCCGCGAAUAAGGAUCGGCUAACUCCGUGCCAGCAGCCGCGGUAAAAGUA
rnacentral:rRNA from 1 species